rnacentral:rRNA from 1 species
GACGAACGCUGGCGGCGUGCCUAAUACAUGCAAGUCGAACGCACAGUUUAUACCGUAGCUUGCUACACCAUAGACUGUGAGUUGCGAACGGGUGAGUAACGCGUAGGUAACCUGCCUGGUAGCGGGGGAUAACUAUUGGAAACGAUAGCUAAUACCGCAUAAUAUUAAUUAUUGCAUGAUAAUUAAUUGAAAGGUGCAAUUGCACCACUACCAGAUGGACCUGCGUUGUAUUAGCUAGUAGGUGAGGUAACGGCUCACCUAGGCGACGAUACAUAGCCGACCUGAGGGGGUGACCGGCCACACGGGGAGUGAGACACGGCCCAGACCCCUAGGGGAGGCAGCAGUAGGGAAUCUUCGGAAAUGGAGGAAAGUCUGACCGGGCAACCCCGGGGGGGGGAAGAAGGUUUUCGGAUCGUAAAGCUCUUUUGUAAGAGAAGAAGGGGGGGGAGAGGGGAAAGUUCACACUGUGACGGUAUUUUACCAGAAAGGGACGGCUAACUACGU